AUUGAACGCUGGCGGCAGGCUUAACACAUGCAAGUCGAGCGGGGUGAUGGUGCUUGCACUAUCACUUAGCGGCGGACGGGUGAGUAAUGCUUAGGAAUCUGCCUAUUAGUGGGGGACAACAUCUCGACAGGGAUGCUAAUACCGCAUACGUCCUAUGGGAGAAAGCAGGGGAUCACUUGUGACCUUGCGCUAAUAGAUGAGCCUAAGUCGGAUUAGCUAGUUGGUGGGGUAAAGGCCUACCAAGGCGACGAUCUGUAGCGGGUCUGAGAGGAUGAUGCGCAACACUGGGACUGAGACCCGGCCCAGACUCCUACGGGAGGCAGCAGUAGGGAAUAUGGGACAAUGGGGGGAACCCUGAUCCAGCCAUGCGGCGUGUGUGAAGAAGGCCUUAUGGUUGUAAAGCACUUUAAGCGAGGAGGAGGCUCUUUUGGUUAAUACCCAAGAUGAGUGGACGUUACUCGCAGAAUAAGCACCGGCUAACUCUGUGCCAGCAGCCGCGGUAA
rnacentral:rRNA from 1 species